AAGCAAUCAAGCUAUAAAUUCCAUAAUUCGUAGUCAUUAUGAUGCAACUGAUGCACAUCUGGAUGACAAACGUGAUCUCGUAGAUCGGUGAAUCUUCGACGACGAAGAAAACAUAAUCACUCAAGUAAGGCAAAGACUCAAUAUAAUCCAUUCAGGAGGGCACGACAAUGUUCAUCGCCAAGUGGUGGGCCGUGGCGCCAAUUCGACAUGACUUCGUCAAUCUUCUGAUUAUGAAAAUUGAAAUAAGCUGCUGAAGUUUUACAAACCUACAAUAAUCCUUCCUCUGCUCAAGAAGUUUUCUAUCAAUAUAUUUAAAAUAAUGUGUACGGAGACUUACUU